ACCUGGUUGAUCCUGCCAGUAGUCAUAUGCUUGUCUUAAAGAUUAAGCCAUGCAUGUCUAAGUAUAAGCUUUUAUUAUACGGCGAAACUGCGAAUGGCUCAUUAAAACAGUUAUAGUUUAUUUGAUAGUCAAUAUAAUACUACAUGGAUAACCGUGGUAAUUCUAUGGCUAAUACAUGCGCAAAUACUAUAUCACUCGGGGGUAUAGUAGUGUUUAUUAGAUACAGAACCAAUACACCUUUUUUAAAGGGUGUAGAAAAAGGUGAUUCAUAGUAACCGAACGGAUCGCAUUAUAAUCAUUUCGAUGAUUGGCGAUAGAUCAUUCAAGUUUCUGACCUAUCAGCUUUCGACGGUAGUGUAUUGGACUACCGUGGCAGUGACGGGUAACGGGGAAUUAGGGUUCGAUUCCGGAGAGGGAGCCUGAGAAACGGCUACCACAUCUAAGGAAGGCAGCAGGCGCGCCCAAUCCUGACUCAGGAAGGUAGUGACAAGAAAUAACAACACCGGAACUUCUAUUUCUAGUGAUUGGAAUGAUGGGAAUCCGAACCUCCUUCAGCGUAACAACUGGAGGGCAAUUGUGGUGCCAGCAGCCGCGCUAAUUCCAGCUCCAACAGCGUAUAUUAAAGUUGUUGCAGUUAAAAAGCACGUAGUUGGAUAUCUGCUGGAAGCGAUCAGUCCGCCCUUUUAAUGAGGGUGUGCAUUUGAUGAAUUCCGGCAUGGUCUUCCCAAUGAUAAUAUUACUAUAUUAGGUUAAUUGCUAAUAUAGUAGUAAUUAUUGGGACGACAGUUACUUUGAGGAAAUUAGUGUGUUUGAAGCAGGCUUGUUGCCUUGAAUACUGCAGCAUGGAAUAACAAUAUAGGAUUUCGGUUCUAUUUUGUUGGUUUCUAGAACUGAAAUAAUGAUUAAUAGGGACAAUUGGAGGCAUUCGUAUUUAACUGUCAGAGGUGGAAUUCUUAGAUUUGUCAAAGACGAACUACUGCGAAAGCAUUUGCCAAAGAUGUUUUCAUUAAUCAAGAACGAAAGCUAGGGGCUCGAAGACGAUCAG
rnacentral:rRNA from 1 species